AGAGUUUGAUCCUGGCUCAGGAUGAACGCUGGCGGCGUGCUUAACACAUGCAAGUCGAACGGAAAGGCCCAAGCUUGCUUGGGUACUCGAGUGGCGAACGGGUGAGUAACACGUGGGUGAUCUGCCCUGCACUUCGGGAUAAGCCUGGGAAACUGGGUCUAAUACCGGAUAGGACCACUUCGUAGUUGUUGUGGUGGAAAGUUUUUUCGGUGUGGGAUGAGCUCGCGGCCUAUCAGCUUGUUGGUGGGGUAAUGGCCUACCAAGGCGUCGACGGGUAGCCGGCCUGAGAGGGUGUACGGCCACAUUGGGACUGAGAUACGGCCCAGACUCCUACGGGAGGCAGCAGUGGGGAAUAUUGCACAAUGGGCGGAAGCCUGAUGCAGCGACGCCGCGUGGGGGAUGACGGCCUUCGGGUUGUAAACUCCUUUCGCCAAAGACGAAUUUUGACGGUAUUUGGAGAAGAAGCACCGGCUAACUACGUG
rnacentral:rRNA from 1 species